AUUGAACGCUGGCGGCAGGCCUAACACAUGCAAGUCGAACGAGUGGCGGACGGGUGAGUAAUGUCUGUGAAACUGACCGAUGGAGGGGGAUAACUACUGGAAACGGUAGCUAAUACCGCAUACCAUCGGAUGUGCACAGAUGGGAUUAGCUUGUAGGUGAGGUAACGGCUCACCUAGGCGACGAUCCCUAGCUGGUCUGAGAGGAUGAGCAGACACACUGGAACUGAGACAAGGUCCAGACUCCUACGGUGUGCAGCAGUGGGGACUAUUGCACAAGGGGCGCAAUACUGAUGCAGCCAUGCCGCGUGGAGGAAGAAGGCCUUCGGGGUGUAAAGUACUUUCAGCGGGGAGGCGUUACCAGCAGAAGAAGCACCGGCUAACUCCGUGCCAGCAGCCGCGGUAAUAC
rnacentral:rRNA from 1 species